CCUCCCCUGCGGGGUGCACCCUCCUGCCAGGCCCCAGGGAUCGUCUGCUGUGUUCAGGCCAGUGCUGAGCAGCCAGGGACCUGGCCGAGGCCCCACUGCCCAAGGCUGGGCUGGGGUCGGGUGGGCAGAGCCUGCCAUCGCGUCCCCGGCACACGUGGUGCUGACAUCGAGAAGAGCUCAGGGGGUCCAGGCUGUCCCCCUCCUGCCUGGGGACAGGGCGGCCCCUACAGGGCACGGGCCCCGGUGGAGCUGAGGAGCGCGGCACACGGAGGGUUAAGUGCUGACGGGAGCUUUGUCUCUGCUCCAGUGUACAUAAUGUGCUCCUCAUUUGCAUACUGCAGUGUGCGCUCAAUUAAAAUGAACUUUUAAUUUCUUCUAAGUAAAUUACUUCUUGCC
rnacentral:lncRNA from 1 species